CACGUAGGGGGCAAGCGUUGUCCGGAUUUAUUGGGCGUAAAGAGCUCGUAGGCUGUUCGAUAAGUCGGGUGUGAAACCUCCAGGCUCAACCUGGAGACGCCACCCGAUACUGUCAUGACUAGAGUCCGGUAGGGGAGCGUGGAAUUCCUGGUGUAGCGGUGAAAUGCGCAGAUAUCUGGAGGAAUACCGGUGGCGAAGGCGGCAUCCUGGACCGACAUUGACGCUGAACGGCGAAAGCUAGGGGAGCAAACGGG
rnacentral:rRNA from 1 species